rnacentral:rRNA from 1 species
UGGGGAAUAUUGGACAAUGGGCGCAAGCCUGCUCCAGCCAUGCCGCGUGAGUGAUGAAGGCCCUAGGGUUGUAAAGCUCUUUCACCGGUGAAGAUAAUGACGGUAACCGGAGAAGAAGCCCCGGCUAACUUCGUGCCAGCAGCCGCGGUAAUACGAAGGGGGCUAGCGUUGUUCGGAUUUACUGGGCGUAAAGCGCACGUAGGCGGACUAUUAAGUCAGGGGUGAAAUCCCGGGGCUCAACCCCGGAACUGCCUUUGAUACUGGUAGUCGUGAGUUCGAGAGAGGUGAGUGGAAUUCCGAGUGUAGAGGUGAAAUUCGUAGAUAUUCGGAGGAACACCAGUGGCGAAGGCGGCUCACUGGCUCGAUAAUGACGAUGAGGUGCGAAAGCGUGGGGAGCAAACAGG